rnacentral:rRNA from 1 species
GACAGAGGGUGCAAACGUUGUUCGGAAUUACUGGGCGUAAAGCGUGCGCAGGCGGUUCUAUAAGACAGAUGUGAAAUCCCCGGGCUCAACCUGGGAACUGCAUUUGUGACUGUAGAGCUGGAGUGCGGCAGAGGGGGAUGGAAUUCCGCGUGUAGCAGUGAAAUGCGUAGAUAUGCGGAGGAACACCGAUGGCGAAGGCAAUCCCCUGGGCCUGCACUGACGCUCAUGCACGAAAGCGUGGGGAGCAAACAGG